rnacentral:rRNA from 1 species
GACGAACGCUGGCGGCGUGCUUAACACAUGCAAGUCGAACGGUAAGGCUCCAGCUUGCUGGGGUACACGAGUGGCGAACGGGUGAGUAACACGUGGGUGACCUGCCCUGCACUUCGGGAUAAGCCUGGGAAACUGGGUCUAAUACCGGAUAGGACCGCACCGUGAGGGUGUGGUGGAAAGUUUUUUCGGUGUGGGAUGGGCCCGCGGCCUAUCAGCUUGUUGGUGGGGUAAUGGCCUACCGAGGCGGCGACGGGUAGCCGGCCUGAGAGGGUGGACGGCCACAUUGGGACUGAGACACGGCCCAGACUCCUACGGGAGGCAGCAGUGGGGAAUGUUGCACAAUGGGCGGAAGCCUGAUGCAGCGACGCCGCGUGGGGGAUGACGGCCUUCGGGUUGUAAACUCCUUUCACCAUCGACGAAGGGUUUCUGACGGUAGAUGGAGAAGAAGCACCGGCUAACUACGUGCCAGCAGCCGCGGUAAUACGUAGGGUGCGGGCGUUGUCCGGAAUUACUGGGCGUAAAGAGCUCGUAGGUGGUUUGUCGCGUCGUCUGUGAAAUUCCGGGGCUUAACUCCGGGCGUGCAGGCGAUACGGGCAUAACUUGAGUACUGUAGGGGAGACUGGAAUUCCUGGUGUAGCGGUGAAAUGCGCAGAUAUCAGGAGGAACACCGGUGGCGAAGGCGGGUCUCUGGGCAGUAACUGACGCUGAGGAGCGAAAGCAUGGGGAGCGAACAGGAUUAGAUACCCUGGUAGUCCAUGCCGUAAACGGUGGGCGCUAGGUGUGGGUUUCCUUCCACGGGAUCCGUGCCGUAGCUAACGCAUUAAGCGCCCCGCCUGGGGAGUACGGCCGCAAGGCUAAAACUCAAAGGAAUUGACGGGGGCCCGCACAAGCGGCGGAGCAUGUGGAUUAAUUCGAUGCAACGCGAAGAACCUUACCUGGGCUUGACAUAUACAGGAUCGCGCCAGAGAUGGUGUUUCCCUUGUGGCUUGUAUACAGGUGGUGCAUGGUUGUCGUCAGCUCGUGUCGUGAGAUGUUGGGUUAAGUCCCGCAACGAGCGCAACCCUUGUCUUAUGUUGCCAGCACGUUGUGGUGGGGACCCGUAAGAAACUGCCGGGGUUAACUCGGGGGAAGGUGGGGAUGACGUCAAAUCAUCAUGCCCCUUAUGUCCAGGGCUUCACACAUGCUACAAUGGUCGGUACAGUGGGUUGCCAGUCCGUGAGGGCGAGCUAAUCCCGCAAAGCCGGUCUCAGUUCGGAUCGGGGUCUGCAACUCGACCCCGUGAAGUCGGAGUCGCUAGUAAUCGCAGAUCAGCAACGCUGCGGUGAAUACGUUCCCGGGCCU